GUUGAAAAGCAAAUUGCAAAAACUUCUCUCUAAUGAUUUAGAGAGAAAUUUUCCCGUGUUCUAGAGACUUCGUUCUCUCCUUCUGUUGGUUUCAGCAGCUAUCCCUUGCUUGGAGCUAUCCCUUACCCUUCCAAGCAAGGGAUAGCAAGGCUUGUAUAUAAUUUUGGGUUGUGUCUUCCUUUUGUUUUUGCACAUAAAAAGCUAAAUGGUGAAGGAGCUUGUUAUUUU
rnacentral:misc_RNA from 1 species